rnacentral:rRNA from 1 species
GACGAACGCUUCCUUCUUUCUUAACACAUUCAAGUCGAACGUAAAGGCCCUGCUUUUGUGGGGUGCUCGAGUGGCGAACGGGUGAGUAACACGUGAGUAACCUGCCCUUGACUUUGGGAUAACUUCAGGAAACUGGGGCUAAUACCGGAUAGGAGCUCCUGCUGCAGGGUGGGGGUUGGAAAGUUUCGGCGGUUGGGGAUGGACUCGCGGCUUAUCAGCUUGUUGGUGGGGUAGUGGCUUACCAAGGCUUUGCAGGGUAGCCGGCCUGAGAGGGUGACCGGCCACAUUGGGACUGAGAGACGGCCCAGACUCCUACGGGAGGCAGCAGUGGGGAAUAUUGCACAAUGGGCGGAAGCCUGAUGCAGCAACGCCGCGUGCGGGAUGACGGCAUUCGGGUUGUAAACCGCUUUCGCCUGUGACGAAGCGUGAGUGACGGUAAUGGGUAAAGAAGCACCGGCUAACUACGGG